CCAGUCAAAUCUAACAGCUGGACGCAAUUAAAUCCCACUUUUCCAUACUGAAUCGUCACAUCUGUUCUGAGGAUAACAGUUUCCCAAAAGAUUUUCUUCCAUCUGUUAUCAUUUUCAAAUCUCUCUUUUUUGAAAACCCUUCAAUCCGGGUUCCUUGCCCAUUCCUCUUGCAGAAGUUCUUCAUUGCAGAUCCUCUCGGUUCCGACCAGGUUCCUCUCUUCCCCCUUUUCUAAUGUUUCUUUUGCUAGUUUAUGGGCUUGAUAGUUUUCUGGUUUUUAAUAAACUGAAAAAUUAUUUCUUGAAAUCGAGAACUAUGCUUCUGAAUAUCUCUGAUGACUGCUCCAAUAAUCGACUUGUCCAUACCUUUUGCUUGACAUUUCUUUAUGACUGUCUUCGAAUCUCCCAUAAUUGUAACUGAUCGGAGACCCAUUGCUAAGCCUAACUUUACUGCUUGUAGGCAUGCAUAUGCUUCUGCAAGAAACGGAGAUGAAAUAUUGGAGUGGAGGGUUGUUUUCAAGGCUCUUAACUCUCCCCGCCAGUCUCGUACAAUAACUCCCGACGCCGAUCUAUACCUGUUAGUAUCAAAAGCUGUAUCAAAGUGUAUUGUGUCCUGUGUUCUCGCUUCCCAAUGUCUCUGAACUUCAACAGUCUUCAAGGUACGUUUUUCCAUUCCCACUGUUUCAAUCUCAGCUAAAUAAGCCUUUAUUCUGUGAACAAGAUCCCUUCCUGAUACAAUCUUCCUCUCAUGCACCAAUUGAUUUCGUGAGUUCCAUAUUGCCCAUAAGGCGCAACAAAACACCUUACACUGCUCAUUGGUUCCUUUUUCAAAGACCCAAGUAAGCCAUGUUCUAGUAUUCUGAUCUCUGUAUGGUGUAACCCAAGUCAUACUAAUGCUUUGCCAAACUUCAUUGCUUUUAGGACACUGCAAAAAUACGUGGAGACUGUUUUCUUCCCCUGAACCACAUCGAGGACAUCUCACGCUUGUGGUUAAAUGUUUGCAACGUAGAUUGACUAAUGUAGGAAUGUAGUUCCAAGAAAUACUCCAGAUCAAGAGUAGAAUUUUUUAUGGAAGUUGUAAUUGCCAUGAUUUUCUGUAGAAAUCUUUGAAUUCGGUCUGUACUAAAUUAUUUGGGUCCAGAUUAGCAUCUUGUAAUAGUUUGUAAGCACUCCGUACUGAGAAUUCUCCAGACGGUUCACCUUUCCAAACAAGCAAAUCUUCACUAUCUGUAGUUGCAAGUGGGAUCUGUAAUAUUCUUUGUGCAAUGGCCAGUUGAAAGGUAUGAGUAACAACCUCCACUUUCCACGUCUUAUCUAUUCCAUCAAUUAGAUCUGAUACAUUUUCCAGCUCUCCAUUUUGAUGACUGUUCUGCCAUAUACUAGGUUCGAUCCCUGGGAUCCACCGGUCAUUCCAAAUAGAAAUUUUGUUUCCUUUCCCAACUCUCCAACACAGGCCUUGAGUGAGAAGUCCCUUUGCAGCCCAGAUACUCUUCCAGGUAAGGGAAGGUAAAUUCCCCAACUCUGCACUUAGAAAAUUCUAAUUUGGAUAAUACUUUGCUUUAAGAACCCUGGCUAAAAGCGAAUUCGGAUAAUUAAAAAGACGCCAUCCCUGUUUGGCAAGCAAUGCAAUAUUGAAUUGACUGAGAUUACGAAAGCCUAAACCUCUAUUCUCUUUUAAACUGCAUAAAUCCUUCCACGAGCUCCAAUGAAUUCCCCCUUAUCCCUGACCUUUUUUCCACCAAAAUCUCGCGAUAAUUGCUUCCAUUACGUCACAUAAGGAUUUCGGAAGUAAGAAUUGAUUGUUAAAAUAUUAAUCAUACAAAAAUAUACAAAAAGAUGAAAAAUUAUUUUAAUUUUUAUAUUAGUGUAAGUGGAUUUUUUCCUCUCCUCUUUCUCUCUCUAUAUAAUUUAAAGAUUAAUAGCAUGUUUGGUUGGAUGGAAUAGCCUAUGCAUUCCAAUUCUAUUCAAUGGGCCCAUUACAAACUGUUGUUUAGUUUAAGGUAAUAGCCUAUUACGGGCCGAAUGGAAUCAGCCUCUAUUACUGGACAACAUGUAAUAGCAAUUCAGGGGCUGGGGGUCUGAAUUGAUAUUCAAAACCACCCGCAAUAACAUUUUUACUUUUUUGGACCAAAAUAGCCUGCCUCUCUUCUUCAUCGUUUUCACUUUCACUUCAGAUUUCUUACUCGACAUUUAUCCCCAAAGUGAACCCUAGAAAUUAGCUCCUUAAUCGAUGACAAAUCAAGCAUCCAUUCGCUAUCUUCAUCUUCAUCUUUCUUCUAGUUGAUCCUCCUUAUUUACGGUAAGUGCCUUUGAUUCUUUUUUUUUUCUCUGAAUUUUUUAGUUAAAGUUCUUUCACUUCUUUCAACUUUUCUUUUCCUCUUUCGUAUUUGGAUAUAAACUAGCAAAGAAAAUUGUGCCUAAAUGAAAUACUGUGUAUCAAUUAGAGUCAAUCCUAUGUUGGAUGCAUGAAUUGAAGAAUCUCAUAAUUACCAUACAAAUCCAAAUGAUUUCAUCCUUUUUCUCCCGUUCACUAUUUACUAGCUCAAAUUUUCCCUUCUUCCUUUAACGUGGUGGUUUCAUACCGUUUUUAUUUUCUUUUAAAGCCCCCUUUCUUUCAAAAUAUAUAGCUAGUGAAAAUUUUAUGCUUUGUGUGGCUAUGAUUAAAAAGCUUAUUCAUGAGUAUACCAACAUGCAAAGCGAAAGGUACGUUGAGAGAUAGUUGUAAGCAAGCGUUGCUUGGGUAGCUGCUAUUUGUGACCCAUUAAUUUGCUUGAUUAUGGAAUAACCAAAUGACACAACAAGACAGGGUGUUUAACAUUUUCAUACAUUUCUUGAGCAAAUGUUUGCAAGUUGGUCUUUGUUUUUAUGCUCUAUUCUUGGCACUCUUACAUGUUUAGAAUUAACCUUAAAUAUCCAAAAAUAGAUCCAUUUUGAACAACACGUAUGCAUAUAUAAUAAACAGGUGUUUGCAAUUGCAAGUUCUUUCUCGGGUGCAAACACAAAAAGAAACCACAACAGCAAAAUAGCAUGUAAUUGGAUAGAAAAACAUUUGGUCUCGCACUUGGUUUGCUCUUUUGUGUCAUGCUUCUUUACAUGGGGAAUUUGUAUAUAAUUUUUAAAAUAUUUGUUGCUUUAAGAAAACUUAAUAUAAAUGUUUUGACUGUGCAAAAUCUUAAUUUUGUCUUAGGAUGUACUUUUUUAAUGUCUGUCCCUCUUGUUGUGUUUACAUAUAAAAAAAAGUUUUGGUUGAUUAAACUGGCAAAAGAGGAUCAUAGACUUUGCAAUAGCCUCCAAGCUUCCAAUGUACCCUUUUUCCAACGAUUGUUAUAGCUUACUUUAGUGCUAAAUCUUCAGUAUUGGACUUCUAAGAGAAAAAAGAUAAGGCUAAUUUUUUGUCAUCACACCCGUUUGGGGCUUGUUUGGUUUUAUGUGAAUACAUUUGAUGCAUUUAUUCUGGUUUUUGAG
rnacentral:lncRNA from 1 species